AUUUACUAUAUUUUUGUUAAUGUUUAUUUUAUUUCAAGUAACGGAAAUAUUUUUUUAUGGCUUUAGUUUCAGUUAACUAUAAUUAAGAUGUGCUAAAGAUACUUUUCAUGUAAAGCAUCACCUUCCUUCAUCUUUAAAAGCCCCUCCACCUCCUGUUCUCUCUCCACAGGUGAGACCCAGGCCAGAGUAUACCAAAAAAAGUACAUCAGCUAUUUCCGUCUGUGGUUUACCACACUAUUGACGUACUUAUCAUACUUACUCAGUUAUCAUGUAGGAGUUAAGAAAGCAGACAUAGGCAUGUACAAACACACACCAGCACAUGUACACAAACACACACACAUACAGAAAAGGUUCGAUGUUCAAAACUGAUCUGCAAGCAAAAAACUUUGCUGAUGUGUGCUUGUAUCAUAACUCCUCAAGAGUUUUCAAGAAAACGUUACAGGUGUACAGCACACACACACACACACAAAAAAUCAACUCUUAGUCAAUCGGAUGUGAUGGAUCACAUGGUCGGAAGAGUCGUUGUCCAGGAAAUGAUGCUUCGUCGGAAUGGAAACUUUAGUGCGGGCCACCACAACAGAGACACCCUGUGAGUGUGUGUAAACAUCAUGAUGCCUUCUCAAAAACCUCACACUGAGUGCGGUCACACACUCACCUCUAAGUUUUCCAUCCACAAGAUGUCAGACCAGUAUUUUAUCACCGGAUGUUUUUCAAGGUCAGGAGUAAAAAAUAGAUACUCUGUCUGUGGUCUGUAUGUCUUUCCAUCUGGCUGUGCACCUGCAGACCUGCGGAGCUGGUCCAGGAGAGUCGUGUGGCCUAUCAGUUGACGGGCGAUAGCAGUGGACAGCGUGUUUGAUGUCAGAUGGUGACCCAAAUAAGCUACAAAAAGCUUUGUGUGUGGCUCUCGAAACACCCAUGUCUGAUGGGGAUGUGAACUAUACUCUCAAAGGUGCGUCUGUGCGUAAGCGAGCGAGCGUCUGUGUGUGAGGGUCAAAGUAGGCUAUAAUUGUGUGUUCGCAGCUGUAUGUGAGUGUGUGAGAAACGACCACAGCUGAGGAACCUCUUAAUGGAGCAAUCACGCCUGGUCGCGAGAGAGCGUGUGUGUGUGUGUGUAUUGAGGGCACACUGCUGUCUCUGUGUUGCCCAGUAAGCUUCACUGUUCU
ensembl:lncRNA